UGGGGAAUAUUGCGCAAUGGGCGGAAGCCUGACGCAGCGACGCCGCGUGGGGGAUGACGGCCUUCGGGUUGUAAACCUCUUUCAGCAGGGACGAAGCGGAAGUGACGGUACCUGCAGAAGAAGCACCGGCCAACUACGUGCCAGCAGCCGCGGUAAUACGUAGGGUGCAAGCGUUGUCCGGAAUUAUUGGGCGUAAAGAGCUCGUAGGCGGUUCGUCGCGUCGGAUGUGAAAACCUGAGGCUCAACCUCAGGCCUGCAGUCGAUACGGGCGGACUUGAGUACUGCAGGGGAGACUGGAAUUCCUGGUGUAGCGGUGAAAUGCGCAGAUAUCAGGAGGAACACCGGUGGCGAAGGCGGGUCUCUGGGCAGUAACUGACGCUGAGGAGCGAAAGCGUGGGGAGCGAACAGGAUUAGAUACCCUGGUA
rnacentral:rRNA from 1 species